AUUGGGAUUCGGCCUCCAGAACCACCUGAGGGGGUCAAGGACAGGAAGACCUCAAGGGUUAGCUUGGCUUGGUUGAGGCAGAAUUUUAACCAUUGUCCUCAAGGAGCACCGCAGGGGGUUGUAGAGCGGUAUGCUCGCGUAUGGUUGUGGCACCUGUUUGGAGGUUUUCUGUUUCCUGAUGGUUCGGGAAACACGAUUUCAUGGAUGAUACUUCCAAUUGUGGGCCAGCAGUGGGAGAACAUUGCUCAGUAUAGUUGGGGGUCGGCAACUUUAGCUUGGAUGUACUGGCAGCUUUGUGACGCAUGUCGGCGGAUUGCUAAUGAUUCAAACCUAGGAGGUUGUGCAUACCUCCUGCAAAUCUGGAUUUGGGAGCGCUUUCCAGUAGGCCGGCCGUACCGAGGCGAACUAGAGCCGUGGCCACACCAUGAUGAGGACUUCAGGCCCACCGUUGCUUACUGUUGGAAGAACGUGGGAGCUGUAAGAGGGGAUCCUGCACGCCGCUACAUGCGUUACAUGGACGACCUAGACUGCCUCACUCAAAAUCAGAUCUUCUGGACACCGUACAGUAGGGCCGAGCUGGACGAGUUGGAACUGAGUGAUAUUUGCACACGCGAUGCCGAACUGUGGAGGACUUGCGUGC